AUGGUGACGGUCAGCUCCACUGAACUGGUCCUGUUCCCCCCGUCUGUAGCCACAAUUUCCCUGGUGAUGAAGGUCCUCUGUGGCAUAAAGUCCACACAGAUGAAGAGUGGAGAAAAGAAGACGAGUGAAGAUCAAAUGUACCAGUGUCUGGGUGUAUACUGAAUGCGGGCACAGUGGAGUCUUUGUGCAUGAAGCCGUAUGUGACCCUGCCGUUGGAGCCCUCGUCAGCAUCCACAGCAUGAACCUGCAGAACGAACGUCCCCGCCGGCUGGUUCUCCAGGACCGACGUGCUCUCUCGGUACUGCUGACACUGAGGACAAUAAGUCAGGGCGCAGAGAAGACAGGUGGGAGGAAGCAAAGAUCAUGACCAUGAGCCAGUUGAGGUGUGGAACGUGGGAAGAGACCCCAAGUGGUGGAUUCAGUACACACACCGCAGCAGGACAGACUGGAUCCAAGGAUUGUACAUGACUGCAAAAAGGCAGCAGAAUGGGUUAAAGCAACCAAGCAUGUGUUUUCAGCCAAGGUGGAUUUGCCCGAUGCACUGAAGAUGGGGGAACGGGAACUGGCAGAGGCUGCAGCUUUGGGUUGAGGAAACAAGUGAGGGCCUGGACGAACAUGAGAGGGAAUCCAUCUUGGAGCCAUUCAAGUUUGUGUUUUACAACAUUAAAGACAUGGAAGUUUUGCGAAGAAAUUACAGAUAGCCAAGGGUAUUUGGCAUACUGUGAAUGCUGAAUGGACAACUAAUGACUUUGACUACAAGUAGUAGCGCACGACUAUUGUUAUGAAAUGCUGUGUUUGCUGAAUAAAGGGCAAUAGAACAUUUGAUCAUUUUGUCAGUUUGUCAGAUCGCUGUGUCAGUUUUUUGCACACACACACACACACACACACACACACACCAGGGCAAAUUUAGGUAUUCCAGCAGCACAAGGACAGAAAUAGCACAGACAAUUAGAACCAAAUAUGAAAUGAAUGGUGGUUAAGAAUAAGAAUAGAAAAUAAAAAUACACAAGAGAAGCUAAAAUUAAAAAAAAAUCAAAAGCCAA